UUGAGAAGUCCAGUGACCUGACACUAGUCAUCAUCAUAUCGGCAGUUUUGGCAGUGGCUAUCGUCUUCACUGUGGGCACUGGUGUCACAGUUUACAAAAGGAGAAAAGCCAAGCGCCCUUCAGAUUCUCCUGACAACCUUCAGCUCUCUGAGAAGCUGAAACCAGAAACCUGAUUCCACACUGACGUCUGUGUACUCUGAGAAGCUCUGCAUUACAUCUGGGUUUAUCACAGACAGAAGUGAAGCAGCGUCUCUCACUGAAUGUCAGUGACACACACUUUAAACACAUGGGACAACUUUGAUACGAGCAGGACAGGUGAUUUAUUGAUGACUGCAAAACACAUGUUAGGUGUUGUCAAAGUUAGAUUUUUUUUUUUGGAGGGAAAACAGCGUCUUGUUUGUUUUUUUAAUGAGGUUCAAACAUCCAAGUAAAAGUGUCAAAUGUGAAAAUGAUGAUGGAACAAAAUGGGGCUUUUGUGAUGGAAGAAAUGUUUUACACAAAUAGAUCAAAGUGUUUACAAGAAGAACAACUUAUUUAGACUAAAGAGCCGUUAGCACAAAGUCUUUUUGUCCACAACAGCUGCUGUUAAUCUGAAGAGACGUUAUGAUUUCACAGAUAUGCUAACACAUUUACAGUUGCUUGUGUUUAUUUUAUGUUUCCAGUUAUGUAAAUAUUGUGCUCAUAUAUUUCUUUAUUAAACAAUUAACUACGUUUUUACCAAACUUAAGCUAUGUAUAAGUACAGUAUUUUAUGUUUUAAUACUAAAUAAAAAUAUAUUAAACAUUUUUAUU